GAGACUUAGUAGAGCUGCUCCCUCUGGGAGAAGUGAACGCUGCAACCAAAGUCAAUUUCAAAUGUUCAUCAUCGGCGUCUCGCAGAUUUGGUGCUUAUUUGAAAUAAGAGAAGCAAACAAAAAACCCCGAUAAUGUCCCGUGUUGUUGAUAACAAAGUCAAGGCAAUGCUGGCUUUUUCAUUGCGACCCUGGGACCCUGUGAUGGAGCAAAGUUUUGCAUACAAAACCGUAAGUUGUCGCUAUUACUUUCAUAUAUACCAGCAUUCCAGCGCUUACAUG